rnacentral:rRNA from 1 species
UACGUAGGGUGCAAGCGUUGUCCGGAAUUAUUGGGCGUAAAGAGCUCGUAGGCGGUUUGUCGCGUCUGCUGUGAAAACCCGAGGCUCAACCUCGGGCCUGCAGUGGGUACGGGCAGACUAGAGUGCGGUAGGGGAGAUUGGAAUUCCUGGUGUAGCGGUGAAAUGCGCAGAUAUCAGGAGGAACACCGGUGGCGAAGGCGGAUCUCUGGGCCUUACCUGACGCUCAGGUGCGAAAGCUAGGGGAGCGAACAGG